GAGAGUUAGAGUAGCACCCAUUGUGGAAAAGAUGGUAGAAUCGCGUCUUAAGUGGUUUGGACAUGUGAGAAGAAGACUGACAAAGCACUCAGUCAGGAGGGUGGAUGAGAUGGACGAUGGACAAGGGGUGAAAGGUAGAGGAAGUCCUAAGAAGAUUAUUCAUGAGGUGGUCAAACGAGAUCUACAUGUAAACGGUCUCUCUGUAGACAUGAUACAUGAUAGAGCUCAAUAGCGUCGUUUGAUUCAUGUAGUCGACCUCACCUAGUGGGACAAAGCUUUGUUGUUGUUGUUGUAUAUGAUGGAUGACAAUGGAUAUGGAUGACAUGAACAUGGAUGAUGAAUAUUGUAUAUUUACAUAGACUCUGUUAUGAUCGCUACUUGCUAUUUAUUAUCUCAAACUUUUACAUUUAUACUGUUGUAGCAGCACAGUCAUCAUUUGCAUAUGCAUCAUUUUAUCGUGAUCUACAUGUGGAUGUUAGAUUAAAUUUGUAUGCUUAGGUAUACCAUGACAUAUGUGUGCCUUAUGGUUCACUUUUCCGUACCAACGUCUCGUGUAUUAAAAUAAAAGAGGACCUAACUUCGAAAAAGACUGCUACAAUUAUAGGUUGACUAUUAGAGAUCGAGUCUAGGAGAGUUAAGUCUUGAGUCAAUGUGAUAGCCUAAUUUGUGUGGAGUUAAGACCAUGGCUUAAGCCCACAUUAAAAAAGGUGCUACAUUGUGUUUGGAUUUUGUCUCUGCGACAGAAAUAUAGAGAUGGAUGUUUUUACCCCUGCCAUCAGAAAGUACAAAAAAUACAAAACAAAGAAGUUGGGACCAUGUGUUUCCUUGCAACCCGUAAUGGGCACUUCCACUUUAGCUGGUCUCUAUCACAUUUAUUUGAAACCAGUCAGUGAAAAAGAGAGGAGAACAGAGACAUAGAGAAAGAC